ACCCGGCCGCUUUUCAGCAAAGCAAGAAAUAUGCACAGAAAAAGAAGAUGGCGACGAAGAACGAGCUACUACAGCGGUGCCUUAUCAAGGCCACGUUUGCAGAAUUGUGCCCUGUGGCGUGAAGAUUGCUUAGAAAAAUUUAAAUUAAAACGCUUUAACCGUUAAGAUAAGUAUAAUAUUGCUACAGCACAUUCAGAGCGCGUUAAUUUCCUUUUUCGAACAACAAUCCAAUUAUAGCGAUCCCAAGUCGCAUGUUUUAUACAGGAGCUGGCGCGAAUGUGAUCUUGAAGAUUUACAACUGUGUUAGGAUAUGCCUUAUGCAUACAGCUGUGUUACGCGGGAUUAUUAUUAUUAUUUAUUAUUAUUAUUUAUUGUUACAUCAAGAGCGGGGCUGAUGAAGCAUUAAGUACGCAGCCAGAAUCAAAUUAUGACAAUCAAUUAAACAACACUGGCGCGCCGUAUAUCUAGUUCUACAUCGCGGCUUUCGUGAUCGACGUGAUAAAAUGGCCAAUGUGAAGCAAACACUCAAGAGAACCGAAAACGGCGGAAAGUAUUUCGUCUGAAAAGGGUGGAAAAAGAGAGUUAUCAUGAACUACAUCUUAUUCUUUUAUUAAUCAACCAUGUGCCAAAAGGAGCUUUAUCCGAAACUCGUAAUAAUUAACUGCUGUAUUUCUUUUCGAAUUUCUUUACGGGAAAGUCAAAAGGCAAAAAACAAUGUGAUACUAUGUACAAAGCUAAAAAAACCAGAAAAUUUUGGCGCGAAGCGCAAAGCCGGCAUACGUUUUCACUAGAUUUUCAAUACAACUUUUUGUACUUUUUAGCUGUUUUGCGCUAUUUCUCCGCUCGGAACCAUAUGAUGACCGAUGAAGUAAUUAUUAGUUUGAUUGUCGACUAUUACUAGCUAAGUCGAAAUUUACUAUUUUUAUUUCACAUUUUUAGCAGUUUCACGUGGUUUACCGCAGACGGUGAACAUCGAGGUGCACCGCUGGGGUGCGGUGAAAAACACCGCGAUGCGAUUUUUAAAUUUUCACCGCACCGACGAUCGACUUUUCUAAAAAGCGCCGAUGGAUUCGGUGCGAUUUUAAUUGAAAGUCGCACCGCAGUUGCACCGCACCGUACCGAAUGUACCGUUAACAACCCUAGAAUAAACAUUCUGGGGAAUUAAUUAAACGAAAUACUGGUGCCCGUAACGAUUAAAAAAUUACUGUGAUUUUCACACGACGGAAAGCUAACUGAAGCAAUGAAAAACGCUACGCGCAAUGGACGCACGUGAAAUGGACGCUUCUACUGUAUGAAAUGAACGCUCCGUAGACAGUAGGUAUUGUACUAUGAAAGUCUCGAAGACCGGUCUCGCGUUGACCCCACGCAGUAGCCAAGAGGCUUUUAUGUAUACUUACAGCAUCGCUGUUUGUUGACCACCUCGGCGUCCAGUUGCACCUGCGUUGACAAUAUGGCUUAAGUUUGCUCGUCCGCUAAUCAAGCAAACGUUGGCCGGUCAUCCGCCGACAAUGCAGUUCCACUUUGGCACUUUCCAACGAUGAUGUACAGUAUAAAUUGUGGCGCCAUGGCGUAUACCACACAAAUCGCACAAGCAUAAUUGAAGCACCUGCAUGUUUUCAUUUUUACCUUAGCCUACAUUAAACUCCUCGUACUUCUACUGUAAAACAUGGACAAUUUAGAUUUACCUUUGUCGCAGUACCUUGUCGCAGUCCUCUUUUUCGUGACCUUUGGCAUUUGCGCCAAAUCGAAGGGCUUUCUUCGAUUGUUUUUUUCUUUAGCCAUCAGUGGCACACAAAGAUCAAACGACCUUCAGCAAGCCUUUGCCGGAGCCGUUCCGGCAAUUGUUCCACCGCCGGAAACGGUAGCUGCUGCUACCGCCAACGACGCGGCAUUAACUGUCAUCCACAUUGGCGAUUCAGUGAUGAAACCAGGAUAGGAUAGCUUGUCGAAACGGUUCCUUACCCAACCUAGCUCCAAUCCUACCCAAUCCUACCCAGCUUGUGGAGACGGUUUCCCGCCCAACUGGAUCCGCUCUUUAAGUAAUGUUCUUUUAAUUUCAUGAAUUUUUUUAGCUUUUAGCUGAAUACUGAUUUGGUUCCUAAUUUUGAUCAUAUCUGAAUAGCAAAUGAUUCGCUGUCCUACUAAUUAAAUUUAGUAAAAUAUAAACAUCCACAUUAUUAUGGAAACUGAUCGUUCCGGUCGUUGACAGUCGUCCAUUUUCAAAAGCAGUGCUUCCAAUGAUUUUUGUCCGUUACGGCCAGUAAAAAAUUAAGCUCCACAUUUAUCAGAUAAGAAGCUGGAAUGGUUUUGCUGCUAAAUUAAAAUUACA